rnacentral:rRNA from 1 species
AGAGUUUGAUCCUGGCUCAGAUUGAACGUUGGCGGCACGCCUAAUACAUGCAAGUCGAACGAGAAAGCACCUCGGUGUGAGUACAGUGGCGGACGGGUGAGUAACGCGUAGGAAUCUACCUAGUAGUGGGGGACAACUCGGGGAAACUCGAGCUAAUACCGCAUACGCUCUAAGGAGGAAAGUGGGGGACCUUUGGGCCUCACGCUAUUAGAGGAGCCUGCGUUAGAUUAGCUAGUUGGUGAGGUAAAGGCUCACCAAGGCUACGAUCUAUAGCUGGUCUGAGAGGACGAUCAGCCACACUGGAACUGAGACACGGUCCAGACUCCUACGGGAGGCAGCAGUAGGGAAUCUUGGGCAAUGGGCGAAAGCCUGACCCAGCGAUGCCGCGUGUGCGAAGAAGGCCUUAGGGUUGUAAAGCACUUUCAGUUGCGAAGAAAAGCUGCGAUUUAAUACAUCGCGGUCUUGACGUUAACAACAGAAGAAGUACCGGCUAACUCCGUGCCAGCCGCCGCGGUAAUUC